rnacentral:rRNA from 1 species
GACGAACGCUGGCGGCGUGCUUAACUCAUGCAAGUCGAACGGAAAGGCCCUGCUUUUGUGGGGUGCUCGAGUGGCGAACGGGUGAGUAACACGUGAGUAACCUGCCCUUGACUUUGGGAUAACUUCAGGAAACUGGGGCUAAUACCGGAUAGGAGCUCCUGCUGCAUGGUGGGGGUUGGAAAGUUUCGGCGGUUGGGGAUGGACUCGCGGCUUAUCAGCUUGUUGGUGGGGUAGUGGCUUACCAAGGCUUUGACGGGUAGCCGGCCUGAGAGGGUGACCGGCCACAUUGGGACUGAGAUACGGCCCAGACUCCUACGGGAGGCAGCAGUGGGGAAUAUUGCACAAUGGGCGGAAGCCUGAUGCAGCAACGCCACGUGCGGGAUGACGGCCUUCGGGUUGUAAACCGCUUUCGCCUGUGACGAAGCGUGAGUGACGGUAAUGGGUAAAGAAGCACCGGCUAACUACGUG